rnacentral:rRNA from 1 species
AUUGAACGCUGGCGGCAUGCCUUACACAUGCAAGUCGAACGGCAGCACGGGUGCUUGCACCUGGUGGCGAGUGGCGAACGGGUGAGUAAUACAUCGGAACAUGUCCUGUAGUGGGGGAUAGCCCGCCGAAAGCCGGGUUAAUACCCCAUACGCACUACGGAUGACAGCGGGGGACCUUCGGGCCUCGCGCUAUAGGGUUGGCCGGUGGCGGGUUAGCUAGUUGGUGGGGUAAAGGCCUACCAAGGCGACGAUCAGUAGCUGGUCUGAGAGGACGACCAGCCACACUGGGACUGAGACACGGCCAAGAGGCCUACGGGAGGCAGCAGUGGGGAAUUUUGGACAAUGGGCGAAAGCCUGAUCCAGCAAUGCCGCGUCUGUGAAGAAGGCCUUCGGGUUGUAAAGCACUUUUGUCCGGAAAGAAAGCCUUGGCCCUAAUACGGUCGGGGGAUGACGGUAGCGGAAGAAUAAGCACCGGCUAACUACGUG